AAAAUAAAUACUUUCACUUGCCCUUCAUUUUGGAUACUAGACUUCUCUGCUAAAGAAACAUUCCGUUAAACGACUAGAAGAAAAACACGAGGAAUGGUUUCAGGCACACAGAAGAAACUUCAAAUUCAUAUUUCCACAAUCUAAUCUCAUAGUGAGAGGAAACUAACAAGUCGGAUGCAGUAAGAUUUUGUAAUAAACAAGAUCACCAUGCUGAUGAAGAGGAAACGUCAAGGCAGUUUAAGGUACACAUGAAAAACAAUCUUUGAAACAGUGUCUAGCUCUUCCAGUGUGAUGAGGCACUACUUAUUAAUUCACCUUCACAUUGAGAUUGUGUUGCUUUUUAAGAAGUGCCGUUUCCUACUCUGACUCAUUACAGUAGGUUGGCCAAGCAGUUACUUACCUGGAGUGGAAAAUCAGUGUUCCAGGACGUUGGUGUUAUGGGAUUGUCGGAAUUUUCAUCUCAGCAUUAUGAAAGUCGGAUACAGUGCUGUGAUUCUCUGUCCUGUGAAGAAAUGAGAAACAAACGAAAAAUGGCAUAUGAAUUUAGGCUUAAUACCAAGACUGUAGUAUGUCUCUAUAGCCACUUUGGAGACUGUCAGUUGUGAAAGAAGUUCAAACAAGGACUAGAUCGAUACAAAUAUGAGCACUUAGAAAUGUUGCUGUGUCAACCAGCAUCCCACAGAAAGCUAAACAUGGAAGGCUGACAGUUUAAAACCACCACAAGAUUCUGUAGAAAUAUUGGGAAGUGAUGUGCCUUUGUGAUUGAUGUUAGAUGCUGUUUGCCAUUGAAGUUAGCACACCAUUAAUAUCAGAAGAAAGAUUUGGAUGACAGAAAGAUUUUCAGAGCACAUUACAAGACAUAGAAGAUAUCCCAAUCAAGCUAAGAUAAUGUACUGAGGUAAGUUAAAUCUUUUGUGUUUUUAAAUAUUCUGGUGGGUAAAUUCAAACCCGUCUUCUAGUUAUGUUGGUUCACACUGCCACUUCAAUAUGUUUAAUGUUAUUUUUACUCUGAGCAUUAUGAAGGUAGACAAAAUACUAUAACGCAGCGUGUAAAUUAUGAAGGGGCCUACAGACUUCUCAAACCACAUUUUUCCUUUGUUCCAAUGUGAAAGUUUAACUCUGCUGAAUGAAUUCCUGCUGCUUAAUGAAAUAUGCUUUUAAGUCAUUAUUAAUGUCAUACCCUGAGCACAUAGAACACAUGGAAAACAUUAAGAGAAAAUGAGCAAGAUGGCAUAGAAAGCAUUAUAUGAGAGAGGCUGGAGAACUACCAUCACAAUGAAUUCCACAGCAAAAAAAAAAAAAAAA